CUGACGGAGCAACGCCGCGUGAGUGAUGAAGGUCUUCGGAUCGUAAAACUCUGUUAUUAGGGAAGAACAAAUGUGUAAGUAACUGUGCACGUCUUGACGGUACCUAAUCAGAAAGCCACGGCUAACUACGUGCCAGCAGCCGCGGUAAUACGUAGGUGGCAAGCGUUAUCCGGAAUUAUUGGGCGUAAAGCGCGCGUAGGCGGUUUCUUAAGUCUGAUGUGAAAGCCCACGGCUCAACCGUGGAGGGUCAUUGGAAACUGGGAAACUUGAGUGCAGAAGAGGAAAGUGGAAUUCCAUGUGUAGCGGUGAAAUGCGCAGAGAUAUGGAGGAACACCAGUGGCGAAGGCGACUUUCUGGUCUGUAACUGACGCUGAUGUGCGAAAGCGUGGGGAUCAAACAGGAUUAGAUACCCUGGUAGUCCACGCCGUAAACGAUGAGUGCUAAGUGUUAGGGGGUUUCCGCCCCUUAGUGCUGCAGCUAACGCAUUAAAGCACUCCGCCUGGGGGAGUACGACCGCAAGGGUUGAACUCAAGGAAUUGACGGGGACCCGCACAGCGGUGGAGCAUGUGGUUUAAUUCGAAGCACGCGUAGAACCUUACCAAAUCUUGACAUCCUUUGACACUCUAAGAUAGA
rnacentral:rRNA from 1 species